GAGAGGGGGUGACUAGUGAUCGAGUGAGGGAGGGAGUGGGUGACUAGUGACAGAGUGAGGAAGGGGGUGACACAGUGAUAGUCAACCCAUUCCUCCCUCUGUCACUUGUCACCCCUUCCCUCCCUCACUCUGUCACUAGUCACACCCUCCCUCUCUCUGUCACUAGUCACACCCUUACUCACUGUCACUAGUCACACCCUCCCUCUC